rnacentral:lncRNA from 1 species
UAAGAAAUUGAGUUUCACAACAUAAAUAUUUAUUGAGGGAAACAGAUCAGUACUGUGAGACGUCAGUGCAUUUACUCAACUUUCAGCACCUUUACAUGACUAGUCUGUAACUGCUGAUAAAGCUUCGAACAGUAACAGAAUUUUUGCAUCUUCAGCAGAUCAAUAAAAAUAAUCCCAGAUCUAAGCAUUAAUUGUUUCUCUGGCGACUAACAGAAAAUCCAAUAGCUUCAGUUUAGAAAUGAAAUUAGCUAACCCUAAAUUUAUCGUGAAACGUGAUACAGAUGAGAAACAGGAAAUGUACCCAUAUCGAGUAACAAGAAAGCAUGAAAAGACCAGCGGAACUGGGAAAUUUUCGUACUGAUUUUUGGCAGGGAAAUUUGAUUUGAGGAGACUACCAUGUCCAUGAGACAGAUAUA